GUGACCACCACCUCAGUGGCAGUAUCAGGACGAAGAGGGCAGCCCUGCAAAUUGGUGUCUGCACAGAGGGAAGGAGAUGAAGAAACAGGCUCUCACCAAGUGACCCUGGAAAAGGAAUGGCAGUCUCUGUAUGCCUGUUGUCCUCUCUUCAUGCUGUAGCCACUUGUGCUCAGCUCCACAACUCUUUACGGCAUAUAAACCUGAGAGUCCCUCCUUGAGACUGAAUGCCCUGGCUGCAGAGCUGGCUAGUGAAGCACAUGGCACAAAUUCAGAGUUGCUCGAAAAUAAGCCUGCACAAACUUUGCUUUUGUGUUAAAAACACACUCUGCAGUCCAUUCUACUACUGGAUCAUCUGUCACUGUCUCCCUGCCUUCCCCGCGGCAUUCCUGAUCCACUGAUAAACAAACACCUCAUGGACUACAUGGAAGAGAGAUUUAUC
rnacentral:lncRNA from 14 species